rnacentral:lncRNA from 10 species
AUGCUGACAAUCUUCUUCCUUCCCCUGGCCACCUCUCUGCCCACUUGCUUCCUCAGUACCUUGGUCCAGCUCUUCCUGCAACGGCCCAGGAGCUCAGAGCUCCACAUCUGACCUUCUAGUCAUGACCAGGACCAGGGCAGCACUCCUCCUGUUCACAGCCUUAGCAACUUCUCUAGGUUUCAACUUGGACACAGAGGAGCUGACAGCCUUCCGUGUGGACAGCGCUGGGUUUGGAGACAGCGUGGUCCAGUAUGCCAACUCCUGGUGAGGCCCAGGUGGUGCUGGCCUUUGGCUCCAUCCAUCCUCUCCCUGCUCAGGGCCCCAUGCCCCCGGCCCUGCCCUGUUAUUUGCAAACUCUCCUCUCUGUCUGGUGUAGCGACUGCCCUGGCUAAUGAAGAUUUGCCUUGAAGGCAGGCACGGUCUCACAGCUAACAUUUACAGAGCAGUAAGUGCAGUGCCAGGCUCAUCACAGGUGGAUGCUGAUUUAGUCCACACGACAGCCUGUGAGUAGGAAUCAGUCGUGCAACAAACACUUAUUUGUUUU